rnacentral:rRNA from 1 species
GAGGUUGUAGCUGGUCCCCCUCGGGGGGGUUGCAACGUGCACGCCUCGUCUCAUGUCUCUCACCCCUGUGCACCUCUGCGUUGGGUCCUGUCGUUUCGGGGCUCACGUCCUUUUCAUAAAAACAUGCAUGUACAAAAGAACGUCACACGUUUGUAUCAUCAUAUACAACUUUCAACAACGGAUCUCUUGGCUCUCGCAUCGAUGAAGAACGCAGCGAAAUGCGAUAAGUAAUGUGAAUUGCAGAAUUCAGUGAAUCAUCGAAUCUUUGAACGCACCUUGCGCCCCUUGGUAUUCCGAAGGGCACACCUGUUUGAGUAUCGUGAAAUCAUCAACCCCUUUCACAUCGUGUGGAAAAAGGGGCUUGGACUUUGGAGGUCUAUUGCUGGUCCCCUGGAUCGGCUCCUCUUGAAUGCAUUUAGUGGAGAGCAUCGUUCCUGCCCUUCGGUGUGAUAAUUCAUCUGCAUCGAUCGAGCGUAAGGGGACGUUCUCUGCUUCGAACGGUUGGGACUAUACCUUUUUGAUCUCAAAUCAGGUGGGACUACCCGCUGAACUUAAGCAUAUCAAUAAGCGGAGGAAAAGAAACUAACGAGGAUUCCCCUAGUAACUGCGAGUGAAGCGGGAAAAGCUCAAAUUUGAAAUCUGGCGGUCUCUGGCCGUCCGAGUGUAGU